GACCAAAUCCGACUCGCCUCAGUUGAUUACACCCCUAUUCGUAGGUUUUAUUUUGUCGUUGCUUUUCCGCCGUUUAUAAUAAUCAUAUCAUAUUUUCUCACACAGAGAGAGAGAGAGAGAGAGAGAGAAAGAAGAAGAAAUGUCGGGGUUUAGGGGAAAGAGAAAGGAGGAGGUGGAGUACGCGUCGGAAGGCGACACUGAAGGCCACGCGCCUCCGAGGAAGAAGACCUCCAAGAAAGACUCUUCCGAUGACUCCACCGACGACAUAGUCGUCUGCGAGAUAUCGAAGAAUAGGAGAGUGACGGUGAGGAGCUGGCAAGGGAAGGUUGUGGUCGACAUUCGCGAGUUUUACGUUAAAGAUGGAAAACAACUGCCUGGCAAAAAAGUCAACUCAGCCAACUUGAACUCGAUCCUCACCUCCCUAGUCAACUCAGCCAUGUUCACCUCCUACAACAUCUUCACCACCAUCGGCUUCGACCAACAGGAUACUGGCUAGAUGAAGGGAUUGUUUGCAAGAGAAGGUUGCCCAAUUAAGAAACGAACAGGAGGCAUGCCCAACUGAGGGAAGUCGCACUCAGCCAUGAUGGUGGCAGCGCCGUAAUCAACUUGUGGGGUUAUGCAAGCCAGGUGGAACUGCAUGGAUGCCGGCCGGUGCAUUUUGACGUGGAAAAUGGGGGUCUUGAGGUUUUUUGUUUCCUCCUAUAUUUUCUAAUUUUCUUGAGAGAAGUUGAAGUUAGAAAGAGAUGACGAGCAUGACAAGAAUGUCGGUGGGAUACAGAUUCCAACCAGGUUAGCGACAUCGCUGAAGUUGAUGUUUGCAAGUGGGAGCUGUGGGACUUACCCAGGUUAUCAGCAAUCAAGUCAGAUGACCCAGAAUGGUUCUUUUGUCCCCGGGAUUUCAAGUACCCCAACAGUAACCGGACGAACAGAGCGACCGAGUCCGGGUAGUGGAAAGCCACUGAGAGCUACAACCACCGGGCUGCGAGAAACACGUUCCAAUUCAACGAUGCUCUCGGUAUCUCACUUACCAUGGAGCAGUGGAAUGUACUCCGGGAUCAUGUUGAAGAAAUUGAGAAGGCGGUUAAUGAGAACUCUUAGGGGGGGUUUGUUGUUGAUAUUAGUAGAGAAAAUAGGAGCGCCUGUAGGCGUCUUUUGUUGUUGUUGAGCAGAAAGUUGGAUUAAAAGUAAUGAUGAUGUUUUGUGAGAUGAUAACUGGGUUGAGGUUACUGACUUUAUGAUUGGAGAAAUGGAAGUGAAUCCCUGACUAAUGUUUGUAAUUACUGACGAAUAGUUUAUCUAUGUUUUAAUGACCGAAGAACUAAGCAGUCUCUUACAAGUAGUCUCGAGUAAGAGGUCCAAAACACUAGGAAGUUAAAUGGAAUCGCUGAUAAUACUUCCUACU